rnacentral:rRNA from 1 species
GACGAACGCUGGCGGCGUGCCUAAUACAUGCAAGUCGAACGCAGAGGAGAGGAGCUUGCUCUUCUUGCGUGAGUGGCGGACGGGUGAGUAACACGUGGAUAACCUACCUGGUAGCGGGGGAUAACUACGGGAAACGGUAGCUAAUACCGCAUAAUAUGUUGAACCGCAUGGUUCUAUAGUGAAAGACGCUUUUGCUGUACUAUCUAGAUGGAUUCCGGCCGCUUUAGCUGGUGGGUGAGUUAAGGGCAUACAAAGGGAACGAUCCGUAGCCGCCCUGAGAGGGUGAUCGCCCACACUGGAACUGGGCCACGGUCAAGACUCCUACGGGAGGCAGAAGAAGGGAACCUUCGGCAUUGGGGGAAAGCCUGCCGGAGAACGGCGCCGUGAGUGAGAAAGGUCUUCGGUUCGAAAAACUUGGUUUUUGGGAAGAACCAGAUUUGUAAUUAAAUGUGCACGUCGUGACGGUACCUAAUCAGAAAGCCACGGCUAACUACGUG